rnacentral:tRNA from 1 species
GCCCGUCAGACGUAGCGAGCGACGUGCCGACCUUGUAAGUCGGACAAGGCCGGUGCGAUUCCGGCGGCGGGCUCCA